UACGAAGGGGGCUAGCGUUGCUCGGAAUCACUGGGCGUAAAGGGUGCGUAGGCGGGUUUCUAAGUCAGAGGUGAAAGGCCUGGAGCUCAACUCCAGAACUGCCUUUGAUACUGGAAGUCUUGAGUAUGGCAGAGGUGAGUGGAACUGCGGAGUGUAGAGGUGAAAUUCGUAGAUAUUCGCAAGAACACCAGUGGCGAAGGCGGCUCACUGGGCC
rnacentral:rRNA from 1 species